UACAGAGGUCUCGAGCGUUGUUCGGAUUCAUUGGGCGUAAAGGGCGCGUAGGCGGCGGGGUAAGUCUGGUGUGAAAUCUCGGAGCUCAACUCCGAAAUUGCACUGGAUACUGCUCUGCUAGAGGGCUGGAGAGGAGAUCGGAAUUCACGGUGUAGCAGUGAAAUGCGUAGAUAUCGAGAAGAACGCGCGCAGCGAAGGCGAGACUCUGGGCAAUUUCUGACGCUGAGGCACGAAGGCUAAGGGAGCAAACGGG
rnacentral:rRNA from 1 species